rnacentral:misc_RNA from 1 species
GGAUUUGAACGACAAGUGCAGCUUCACCUUUCUUAGACCACCACAAACCAGCAGGGCAGCGGUGAGGCCAUCUGGAGUCAAGCCAGCCAAAUGCAAGAUGGUCAUGUUUCUCAAGCAAUUAAUGCUGGCUAGAGACAAUAGCCCGACAUCUGUAACCGAACAGUACGAUAAGUUUAUCUGCUUCAGGUUGUGAGAGAAUUGGGCGAGUGGAAGCAUUCCAUCAUCAUUUACAUUGAC